CAUUAGGACCUAGAUCGACUGUGAGCAGGUAGAUAACUCCGUGCAAAUGCAGUUGCCAGAAACGCAAACAAUUUGGAUGAAUUGAGUUUGAAGAACAAGAAUAUGGCAAAAAGCUUGUAUAAAGGUGGAAGGAAAGAAAUGAGAGAGACCGGAGAGCGAAAAGACAAGAGUACAGAGAGCGUUUACGUGCCAGUCGCAAGGUAGUAACGGUCCAAUGUUAAAAUUUCAGCGGGACAAACAGUAAAACCAAAGACACUAGACACUUAGACCUGGAGAAUAGAGAUAUCAGAAAUUAACGUUACAAGGAGGCCUGUAAAAGCAGGUCAAUCGCUGGAAGCGACACAGUCAUCGAGAAACUGAACGCAUGCGAACAAUGUGCAGCAAGGGUACCUCCAGGGGAGUAAAUCUCUCAACAGCUAAAACAAGCUAUAAGGUAAUGGUAUUGGCUUAAAGAGUGUUGACACCAUAAACAACCUGCCAUCAGCUGGAAUGAAGACGUGUGAAACAUAUUGAGUGAAAUCACUAGCGUUAGACAUGCGGAAGCCAUAUCUACUUGGCUAUAUCCACCCAUAAUUAAAACACCGCCAAACCUGGGGAAGUAAUGCACAUGAGUUGGCCACACAUCGCGAAACUGCACAUAUCCUGACGCUAAUAAAGCAGGCUCCCGAGAUUUUUUCACCGAGGGUAUCCUCUUUCGUCGCCGAUGGCUUGCAUUUCGGGAUACACAUCCAGAUCCAAGCUGCUGCUGCAAAUGGCAUUGUAACUUGUAAUCCCUAUAGUGGUUAGCUACUUCGUGACAAAAGAGAUCCGGCCAAAAACACUUUGUAUUGUACUCUCUUUUCAUGGUCAUUCGUGAAAAAUACUGGCUUCCACUGCCCAGAGCAACGCCUUCUACAACCAAGCCGACAGAGGAGCACAUGCCUCAGGCCCUUGGAAAAUUUUACGGCAUCAAGCCUAAGAUAUAAUAGACCGUUAGCACGCUUCAAGCCAACUUGCUCGUCGGAGCCAACAAUGUAAACUGCGUGGGUUGACAUUGAUGGCUUCUCCUCGUCGCUUGUUGUUUCGGGAUAUAAUUGAACAUUUAUUGAACAGUCGAACAAUACAAUUUAUGUUAGCAACAGCAGUUUGCGGUUAUUUGUUAUCACGUCAGGUCGCGAUUUGUUUUUGUUUGUUCGACGACGGAUUGGAGUUGAAAAUGAACAAAAAGCUGAAUUGUUGGGUUACUGAACUGUAUAUAUUAAGACCCUCUAAAAAAUAAAAAAAAACCAUUUAAAUAUGUAUAACCACUAAAAUAAUUUUGGUACACAAUAAAGGUUCUGAAAAAACGAUAAUCACGAAAA